rnacentral:rRNA from 1 species
UGGAGAGUUUGAUCCUGGCUCAGGACGAACGCUGGCGGCGUGCCUAAUACAUGCAAGUAGAACGUCUGAGGACUGGUGCUUGCACCGGUCCAAGGAGUUGCGAACGGGUGAGUAACGCGUAGGUAACCUACCUCAUAGCGGGGGAUAACUAUUGGAAACGAUAGCUAAUACCGCAUAAAAGUGUUUAACCCAUGUUAAACAUUUAAAAGGUGCAAUUGCAUCACUAUGAGAUGGACCUGCGUUGUAUUAGCUAGUUGGUGAGGUAACGGCUCACCAAGGCGACGAUACAUAGCCGACCUGAGAGGGUGAUCGGCCACACUGGGACUGAGACACGGCCCAGACUCCUACGGGAGGCAGCAGUAGGGAAUCUUCGGCAAUGGACGGAAGUCUGACCGAGCAACGCCGCGUGAGUGAAGAAGGUUUUCGGAUCGUAAAGCUCUGUUGUUAGAGAAGAAUGAUGGUGGGAGUGGAAAAUCCACCAUGUGACGGUAACUAACCAGAAAGGGACGGCUAACUACGUGCCAGCAGCCGCGGUA